rnacentral:rRNA from 1 species
GCAUAUCAAUAAGCGGAGGAAAAGAAACCAACAGGGAUUGCCUCAGUAACGGCGAGUGAAGCGGCAAGAGCUCAAAUUUGAAAGCUGGCCCCCCUCGGGGUCCGCAUUGUAAUUUGCAGAGGAUGCUUCGGGAGUGGCCCCCAUCUAAGUGCUCUGGAACGGGCCGUCAUAGAGGGUGAGAAUCCCGUAUGGGAUGGGGUGUCCGCGACCAUGUGAAGCUCCUUCGACGAGUCGAGUUGUUUGGGAAUGCAGCUCUAAAUGGGUGGUAAAUUUCAUCUAAAGCUAAAUAUUGGCCGGAGACCGAUAGCGCACAAGUAGAGUGAUCGAAAGAUGAAAAGCACUUUGAAAAGAGAGUUAAAAAGCACGUGAAAUUGUUGAAAGGGAAGCGCUUGCGACCAGACUCGCCUACGGGGUUCAGCCGGUAUUCGUACCGGUGUACUUCCCCGUGGGCGGGCCAGCGUCGGUUUGGGCGGCCGGUCAAAGGCCCUCGGAAUGUAACGCCUCUCGGGGCGUCUUAUAGCCGAGGGUGCCAUGCGGCCAGCCCGGACCGAGGAACGCGCUUCGGCACGGACGCUGGCAUAAUGGUCGUAAGCGACCCGUCUUGAAACACGGACCAAGGAGUCUAACAUCUACGCGAGUGUUCGGGUGUCAAACCCGUGCGCGCAGUGAAAGCGAACGGAGGUGGGAACCCUCACGGGUGCACCAUCGACCGAUCCUGAUGUCUUCGGAUGGAUUUGAGUAAGAGCGUAGCUGUUGGGACCCGAAAGAUGGUGAACUAUGCCUGAAUAGGGCGAAGCCAGAGGAAACUCUGGUGGAGGCUCGCAGCGGUUCUGACGUGCAAAUCGAUCGUCAAAUUUGGGUAUAGGGGGCGAAAGACUAAUCGAACCAUCUAGUAGCUGGUUCCUGCCGAAG